CGAUGGCCAUGGAAGUGGGGACUGCUAAGGAGUGUUUAACAACUCACCUGCCGAAGCAACUGGCCCCGAGACUGGAUGGCGCUCUAGUGUCGAGCCUAUCGCCGGCUGCUGCCGGCAGAUGCACGCAAACAAGGGGGUGCUAAGCUGCAGCGAGCAGGAGGGCCGCUGCGGUGAGCGUUGAACGUGUCGGGCAUAAGCCCGCCUGGAGCCGCCCCUAGUGCAGAUCUUGGUGGUAGUAGCCAAUACUCAAGUCAGAACCUUGAGAACUGAAGUGGAGAAGGGUUCCAUGUGAACAGCAGUUGAACAUGAGUCAGUCGGUCCUAAGGAAAGGGAGAAGUUCUUUCCGUAGCGGGAGCACUUUUUUUGCAGUGGAGAGAACCCCGCAGUGACCGAAAGCGAAUCUGGUUAAUAAUCCCGGAAACGGAGAUUGGUCCUUCGGGGCCCAGUGCGGUAACGCAAACCAGCUUGGUGACGCCGGUGAGCCUUUACGUAAAGGUAAGCUGAUUUUGUUUUAAUUAUGUAUACGUGGUAGUUAUCCAGCAUAUAUAGCAAAAGUUAGUGCGUAGACCCAAAAGCUAGCGACUGGAAAACCCGUAAACUCGUUCGGUGGCGUACUCGGCGGCCGCUGCCGCGCGUGCGCUAUGGCUAUGCCGUGCCGUACUCGUUGCUUGUAUACCCAAAAGCUAGCGACUGGAAAACGAGUGAACUCGUUCGGUGCCGUACUCGGCAGCUGUCGGCGUGCGUGCGGUCUCCCGCACUCGUC
rnacentral:ncRNA from 1 species